CUUGGUCAUUUAGAGGAAGUAAAAGUCGUAACAAGGUUUCCGUAGGUGAACCUGCGGAAGGAUCAUUACUGAGCGUGAAGCCAUGCAGGACGCUUGUCCUGUGCGGCUGACCCUCCACCCGUGUGAACUAAUUUUGUUGCUUUGGCGGGCCGGGCUCGACCUACCGGCUCCGGCUGGGGAGUGCCCGCCAGAGACGCCCCAACUCGUGCAGUUAGUGCAGUCUGANAAAAAUUUAACAAGUAAAACUUUCAACAACGGAUCUCUUGGCUCUGGCAUCGAUGAAGAACGCAGCGAAAUGCGAUAAGUAAUGUGAAUUGCAGAAUUUAGUGAAUCAUCGAAUCUUUGAACGCACAUUGCGCCCCCCGGUAUUCCGAGGGGCAUGCCUGUUCGAGCGUCAGAACAUCCUCUCAAGCCUGGCUUGGUCUUGGGGCGCGCCGGCUCGGCGUCCCCUAAACAUAGGGGCGGUACCGUUGUGCUCUCCGCGUAGUCACGUAUCUCGCGACAGAGUGGCGAUGCGACCUGCCAGAACAUACAUAUUUCUUGGAUGACCUCGGAUCAGGUAGGGAUACCCGCUGAACUUAAGCAUAUCAAUAAGCGGAGG
rnacentral:rRNA from 1 species